AGUCCGACGCGAAAGUCCCGAAAGGGAUGAGUAGAGUGGCAAACGGGUGAGUAACACGUGGGUGACCUGCCUUCGAGCGGGGGAUAACGUCCCGAAAGGGACGCUAAUACCGCAUGACAUCCUGCCUUUGAACAGGCGGUGAUCAAAGCUGGGGAUCGCAAGACCUGGCACUUGAAGAGGGGCCCGCGCCUGAUUAGCUAGUUGGUGAGGUAACGGCUCACCAAGGCGACGAUCAGUAUCCGGCCUGAGAGGGCGGACGGACACACUGGGACUGAGACACGGCCCAGACUCCUACGGGAGGCAGCAGUGGGGAAUUGUUCGCAAUGGGCGCAAGCCUGACGACGCAACGCCGCGUGGAGGAUGAAGAUCUUCGGGUCGUAAACUCCUUUCGAUCGAGACGAACGGCCUCCGGGUGAACAAUCCGGGGGAGUGACGGUACCGAGAGAAGAAGCCCCGGCUAACUCCGUGCCAGCAGCCGCGGUAAUACGGGGGGGGCAAGCGUUGUUCGGAAUUACUGGGCGUAAAGGGCUCGUAGGCGGCCAACUAAGUCAGACGUGAAAUCCCUCGGCUUAACCGGGGAACUGCAUCUGAUACUGGAUGGCUUGAGAUCGGGAGAGGGAUGCGGAAUUCCAGGUGUAGCGGUGAAAUGCGUAGAUAUCUGGAGGAACACCGGUGGCGAAGGCGGCAUCCUGGACCGACACUGACGCUGAUGAGCGAAAGCAGGGGAGCA
rnacentral:rRNA from 1 species